rnacentral:rRNA from 1 species
GAAAGGCCCUGCUUGCAGGGUACUCGAGUGGCGAACGGGUGAGUAACACGUGGGUGAUCUGCCCUGCACUUCGGGAUAAGCUUGGGAAACUGGGUCUAAUACCGGAUAGGAGCCAUCUUUAGUGUGGUGGUUGGAAAGUUUUUUCGGUGUAGGAUGAGCUCGCGGCCUAUCAGCUUGUUGGUGGGGUAAUGGCCUACCAAGGCGGCGACGGGUAGCCGGCCUGAGAGGGUGUACGGCCACAUUGGGACUGAGAUACGGCCCAGACUCCUACGGGAGGCAGCAGUGGGGAAUAUUGCACAAUGGGCGCAAGCCUGAUGCAGCGACGCCGCGUGGGGGAUGAAGGCCUUCGGGUUGUAAACUCCUUUCGCUAGGGACGAAGCUUUGUGUGACGGUACCUAGAUAAGAAGCACCGGCUAACUACGUGCCGGCAGCCGAGGUAAUACGUAGGGUGCGAGCGUUGUUCGGAAUUACUGGGCGUAAAGAGCUCGUAGGUGGUUUGUCGCGUCGUCUGUGAAAUUCUGGGGCUUAACUCCGGGCGUGCAGGCGAUACGGGCAUAACUUGAGUGCUGUAGGGGUAACUGGAAUUCCUGGUGUAGCGGUGAAAUGCGCAGAUAUCAGGAGGAACACCGAUGGCGAAGGCAGGUUACUGGGCAGUUACUGACGCUGAGGAGCGAAAGCA